CCUCCUCUUCCUGCUCCUCUCCCGCCACCUCGUCAAUGCUUCCAUUUACCCCUAUGAUGUCUCCUUUUCUUCUAACAACAAAAAGAGAUUAAGAUACUACUAACACAUGAAGGAAUAGUACUGUAUGUUCAUGUUGUAUCAUUAUUCUUGAAAGUAAUAUGAAAUUAACAAGUUAACUAAAGACAAAGUUACUCACUAAGGGAUA